GACAAUUUGCCUGAGUGGUUAAAGGGUGUGACUCGAAAUCACAUGGGCUCUGCCCGCGCAGGUUCGAGUCCUGCAGUUGUCG
rnacentral:tRNA from 1 species